CAGAACCACUCGUGCUCGUAACCUCUGUGGUCUCUGAGGGCAGAACAUCCACCUGCAGGGCUUUUAGGAUCAUGCUUUUUUUUCUGAGACACACAGCGACUCGCUGCCAGCAGAGUGUGCGGAGCCCUCCCCUCAGCCCAGCUUUCAAGCCUCGUUGGAUCCAUACGCUUCGAGUGAUCAGGGUGAUUUUUCUCCUGGUUUCUGCACAGGUCUAACUUGUAGCUGUCUUGUCCACGCAAUGAUGGCCAUAUGCUCUUGGGUGCCAGCAGCAGAAAGAGGGAAAAGACUUAUGCUCUUCAGAGAACUGUGUCCGUCGUUAGCGCAGCUGCCACCGUAACAGUACAGGGCUGAUGCUGCCUCUUCUGUCAGUUGUACUUACAUUUUUGUGUGCUUUUCUGCUGAUAAAAUUCCACUGACGUCACCCAUAGCAAACCUUCAUGCUUGAUAAAUGCUUGAACAAGAAGGGGAUAAGGCUCACACUAAACAAACAAGUGCCAAUCAUAAAGGAAUAAGUGGGGUUUUCAGCCUGCUCAG